UAGCGUAGCGGCGAGCGAACGGGGAGCAGCCCAGAGUCUUAAUCAGCAUUAGCAUCAGGAGAACGGUCUGGAAAGUCCGGCAGUAAAGGGUGAUAGCCCCGUAUCCGAAGGUGUUAGUGUUGUGAACUCGACGAGUAGGGCGGGACACGUGUUAUCCUGUCUGAAUAUGGGGGGACCAUCCUCCAAGGCUAAAUACUCCUGAUUGACCGAUAGUGAACCAGUACCGUGAGGGAAAGGCGAAAAGAACCCCGGCGAGGGGAGUGAAAUAGAACCUGAAACCGUGUACGUACAAGCAGUGGGAGCCCCAUCACUCAAGUGCCUCGGCAAUUGAGUGAUGGUGUAAAACCAUCACAAUAACAGCGCAGGAUUUGCCAACAAGAUUGGCUGAUUUUUUCAAGCCGCAGCGCAGUGGACAUCGAAGUCCAUGAGCAGCGGAAGUUAAAAAAUCGGGCAAGAUUGGCCGCAAAGCCAAGCGGGACAUUUGAGGAUGGGGUGACUGCGUACCUUUUGUAUAAUGGGUCAGCGACUUAUAUUCUGUAGCAAGGUUAACCGUAUAGGGGAGCCGUAGGGAAACCGAGUCUUAACUGGGCGAAUAAGUUGCAGGGUAUAGACCCGAAACCCGGUGAUCUAGCCAUGGGCAGGUUGAAGGUUGGGUAACACUAACUGGAGGACCGAACCGACUAAUGUUGAAAAAUUAGCGGAUGACUUGUGGCUGGGGGUGAAAGGCCAAUCAAACCGGGAGAUAGCUGGUUCUCCCCGAAAGCUAUUUAGGUAGCGCCUUGUGAACUCAUCUUCGGGGGUAGAGCACUGUUUCGACUAGGGGGUCAUCCCGACUUACCAACUCGAUGCAAACUACGAAUACCGAAGAAUGUUAUCACGGGAGACACACGGCGGGUGCUAACGUUCGUCGUGAAGAGGGAAACAACCCAGACCGCCAGCUAAGGUCCCAAAGUCAUAGUUAAGUGGGAAACGAAGUGGGAAGGCUCAGACAGCCAGGAUGUUGGCUUAGAAGCAGCCAUCAUUUAAAGAAAGCGUAAUAGCUCACUGGUC
rnacentral:rRNA from 1 species